rnacentral:rRNA from 1 species
GACGAACGCUGGCGGCGUGCUUAACACAUGCAAGUCGAACGGAAAGGCCCCGCUUUUGUGGGGUGCUCGGGUGGCGAACGGGUGAGUAACACGUGAGUAACCUGCCCUUGACUUUGGGAUAACUUCAGGAAACUGGGGCUAAUACCGGAUAGGAGCUCCUGCUGCAUGGUGGGGGUUGGAAAGUUUCGGCGGUUGGGGAUGGACUCGCGGCUUAUCAGCUUGUUGGUGGGGUAGUGGCUUACCAAGGCUUUGACGGGUAGCCGGCCUGAGAGGGUGACCGGCCACAUUGGGACUGAGAUACGGCCCAGACUCCUACGGGAGGCAGCAGUGGGGAAUAUUGCACAAUGGGCGGAAGCCUGAUGCAGCAACGCCGCGUGCGGGAUGACGGCCUUCGGGUUGUAAACCGCUUUCGCCUGUGACGAAGCGUGAGUGACGGUAAUGGGUAAAGAAGCACCGGCUAACUACGUG